UUUCAACCCCGUGCUUACACCAAAAAGUGACGUCAGUCCUCUCAAUCAAGAUGACUGAGACCAAGUUUUUGAUAUCCGACGAUGACGACAGUCUGUUCGAUGUUCCCAGAAGGUUACCUCUGCAAGAGGCAGUCUCCCUUUACAUUGACUUCACAGUCAGCAAACGAGUGCAGAUAAACUAUCAAUAAGUGAAAGAUCUACAAUACAACUAUUAUUUUGAGUUUGAUACAUUUGGCCAUAACAUUAAGCCUUCAUGAAGGAAAACAUUUUUGUGAAAUUUUCUGAUACCCUAGAGACUGGUACAGACAUCAUCAAACAAGUGGAGAUCAAAUAUCCAUAAUCAGGAUACAAAAAUAAUUAAUGUCAAAUUUCCUGAUACGAUAGAUAUUGACUCCGUCAUCAUGAAUUUCAAAUUCUGACAUGCUGGUAAUUAGUGUUCGAAAUCUUACAAUUGAUAAUUGUUUUAUUACCAACGAGCAGUUAUUAAAAAAGUAUGGUUAACUUCAGUUUUCCAA